UUGGGCAUGGUGUACGGUACACAUCCUCCUUUCCUUUGGGCUUUGUCACGAGGAUGCAAGAGGGAAUCCGGGGUUCGACUCCCCGUGUCCAAG